rnacentral:rRNA from 1 species
AUUGAACGCUGGCGGCAGGCCUAACACAUGCAAGUCGAACGGUAACAGGAAACAGCUUGCUGUUUCGCUGACGAGUGGCGGACGGGUGAGUAAUGUCUGGGAAACUGCCUGAUGGAGGGGGAUAACUACUGGAAACGGUAUCUAAUACCGCAUAACGUCGCAAGACCAAAGAGGGGGACCUUCGGGCCUCCUGCCAUCGGAUGUGCCCAGAUGGGAUUAGCUAGUAGGUGGGGUAACGGCUCACCUAGGCGACGAUCCCUAGCUGGUCUGAGAGGAUGACCAGCCACACUGGAACUGAGACACGGUCCAGACUCCUACGGGAGGCAGCAGUGGGGAAUAUUGCACAAUGGGCGCAAGCCUGAUGCAGCCAUGCCGCGUGUAUGAAGAAGGCCUUCGGGUUGUAAAGUACUUUCAGCGGGGAUGAAGGGAGUAAAGUUAAUACCUGUGCUCAUUGACGUUACCCGCAGAAGAAGCACCGGCUAACUCCGUG